AAAGAAUCCUUGGCUUCACAUCCUUGAUGACUACACCCAGUAUACCUGAAGAAGAAGAAGAGAUGCCUCGAGUAGAUGUUGUUUAUGAAAAUAUUCAAAACAUACCUCCUCUACUGAAGACAUACAUCAAGAGUCCUGCAAAGCUGAAGAGAAAACGUGGAGAUGAGGAUCCUUCAGAGCCGAGCAGUGUGGCGAAGAGGAUUGAUUUUGAUGAUCCAUCAGCAGCUUAGGAUGUUAUAGAUAGUUUUGGGAUGCUUACAUGUCUAGUUGGCAUGUAUAUUUUGUAUAUGGACAUACAUUCACGUAUUUAGACAUACAUUUUGUUUCAGUUGGUGUUUAUGCCAUAUUUGUGUAUGGACAUACAUUUGUA